GGGAUUGCCUCAGUAACGGCGAGUGAAGCGGCAAUAGCUCAAAUUUGAAAGCUGGCGCCUUCGGCGUCCGCGUUGUAAUUUGUAGAGGAUGCUUCGGCGAGGACUCCUGCCUAAGUCCCCUGGAACGGGGCGUCACAGAGGGUGAGAAUCCCGUACGUGGCGGGCGGUCCGAGCCAUGUGAAGCUCCUUCGACGAGUCGAGUUGUUUGGGAAUGCAGCUCUAAAUGGGAGGUAAAUUUCUUCUAAAGCUAAAUAUUGGCCAGAGACCGAUAGCGCACAAGUAGAGUGAUCGAAAGAUGAAAAGCACUUUGGAAAGAGAGUUAAAAAGUACGUGAAAUUGUUGAAAGGGAAGCGCUUGCAACCAGACUCGCUCGCAGUUGCUCAGCCGGCCUCUUGGCCGGUGUACUCUUCUGCGAUCGGGCCAGCAUCAGUUCGGGCGGCCGGAUAAAGGCAUCGGGAAUGUAGCACCCUUCGGGGUGUGUUAUAGCCCGGCGCGGAAUGCGGCCAGCCUGGACUGAGGAUCUCGCUUCGGCAAGGAUGCUGGCGUAAUGGUUGUAAGCGGCCCGUCUUGAAACACGGACCAAGGAGUCUAACAUCUAUGCGAGUGUUUGGGUGUCAAACCCAUGCGCGUAAUGAAAGUGAACGGAGGUGGGAACCCUUCGCGGGGUGCACCAUCGACCGAUCCUGAUGUCUUCGGAUGGAUUUGAGUAAGAGCAUAGCUGUUGGGACCCGAAAGAUGGUGAACUAUGCCUGAAUAGGGUGAAGCCAGAGGAAACUCUGGUGGAGGCUCGCAGCGGUUCUGACGUGCAAAUCGAUCGUCAAAUUUGGGUAUAGGGGCGAAA
rnacentral:rRNA from 1 species